rnacentral:rRNA from 1 species
UACGUAGGGGGCAAGCGUUGUCCGGAAUUAUUGGGCGUAAAGAGCUCGUAGGCGGUCUGUCGCGUCUGCUGUGAAAACUCAGGGCUUAACCCUGAGCUUGCAGUGGGUACGGGCAGACUAGAGUGCGGUAGGGGAGACUGGAAUUCCUGGUGUAGCGGUGAAAUGCGCAGAUAUCAGGAGGAACACCGAUGGCGAAGGCAGGUCUCUGGGCGAUUAAACUGACGC